rnacentral:lncRNA from 13 species
CUAAUUCCCAAUUACCAUUGAUUAUCAUUGUCAAAAAUAGUAACAUACUUACUUAAUGGCUCUUUCAUGCUUACCAUUUUGACUAUUACAUAUGAGUGUUGAAUAAUCCGGCAUUGGCUUCACAAGCCAGAAGGACUCUCUUUUCUUCAGUGAAGAUGGAACUCAUUUCCUAGGGUAUAGUAAGAGACAUCUACCAGGACAGCCAAAUCAGCUCCAUCUAUCCUCGCCAUCAGUAAUGUGGUAGACAGCUGAGCUUUCAGUAAUCCUGGUAGACUAUAUUUGUUAUACGAAACAAUCCAUCCCAGAUAUCUUAAGGAGAGAGGAACAGAAUUUUCUAACAGCAAAGUAAGUAUGUAUAGAAUAAUGGGAAGGGCUGGAAGAAUGGUAUA